UCGCUGCGGGGGGGGAGGGGGCGAGCGAGCGAGCGAGCGCCCCCGGCCUUUCCGCGCGCCUUUGGCUCCCGCGCGUGGGGCGGGGCCGCGCGUCCUGAGGCGUCCGCGUGGCUCGCCCCGCCCCGCCCCGCCGCGCGAGCGGCCCGUUGUGCGGGCGAUCAGCGUGGCCCUUCGUCUGUCGCUUCCCCUUCCCCCGCUCGGAAACGGGGGUACAACGCCAGCCCGUUGUAUGCUGGCAGCUCUGUGGGCACCGGCGUUCCUCUGCGUUUGGGGAGGAGGUCGCCGAGAGGAGCUGUAAAUGUCUGCUGCUGACCCCAGAGUCAGCACAAGCAGAUAGCCCAGUGCUAGGUCUGCCAGCAGCUGACAAGGUAGAAAGAUGUGCUUUUCUCUUUCAUUCUUGUGAAGUUAGAGGCAGUGCCGAUUUAAACUGUGACUGAGGCUCUGCAAUGGUGCAAGUCUAUCCUACUACUUCAAAUUCAGUGACGCAAUCUGAGUUUACAUUAAUUAACUUUCAAGGAUUCAAGCAAUUUAAAGCUUUUGGUCAAUGACAGUUAUCUGAAAACAUUCCUACAGGUUUAUUUUCAUUUACAUUUGGUUGCUAUCUCCAUCUCAUUCAAAGCAGUCAGGACUGGGUUGCUUCUCUCUUCUCUGGAAAUUUGCACUAGGAACCAGUGUUAGAAUCAGAAUCCUGAUCUAAGAGUAUGAUGACAAAUGUUGCACUCCAAGUUGGAAAUUGGAGAGGAAAAUAUUCAUGUAUACGUAGGAAUUGUGCUCAAACAGCUGAUGACACUUGUUCUUACACCUUAACAGAUGCUUAGACCUUUUAGCUUUCUACCUGAGAAGCAACAGGUAGUUUCUAUGUUUCCCUUGGGGAUAGUGUACUCUUCUGUAUUUUGCUUCUAUACAAACAGUUCAAAAUUGUAAAGUCAUAUUGUCAGUCAUACAACCAAACAACCUUGCACGGCAUUCCAUGUUCCCCCCCAGAUAGAUCAAGCCCUGAAUGCAAGACCAGACAAGUAAAUAAUGCCAACAUGUAAAACUAACUUGUAAAUACAUUGCUUUUUGGCAGGCUUUUUGGCACUUUGUGGGGCUUAACUGUACUUCAGUGAGAAGAAUGUCCUCUGGUGUGAACUGAAAUUAUACCUCUAUGCCACAAUUUCUAUUUUUUUUUUUUGGGGGUGGGGGGAGAGGGGCAGAAUUCCUUGUGGACACCUGAAGGAGUUGCAAAAUAAUAAUAAAAUUGAGGUGAAGGAAAAGUU